GGGGAACUUUGCCGGCUGCAAAGACAUGCAAGUCGAGCGGGACUUACUUAGCUUGCUUUGUAAGUCGAGUGGCGAACGGGUGAGUAACACGUGAGCAACCUGCCCGGAAGAGGGGGAUAGCUCGGGGAAACUCGAAUUAAUACCGCAUGUGAUCCUGUGUAGCAUUACACGGCGAUUAAAGGUGCCUUCGGGUGCCACUUCCGGAUGGGCUCGCGGCCUAUCAGUUAGUUGGUGAGGUAACGGCUCACCAAGGCAAUGACGGGUAGCUGGUCUGAGAGGAUGAUCAGUCACACUGGAACUGAGACACGGUCCAGACACCUACGGGUGGCAGCAGUCGAGAAUCAUUCGCAAUGGGGGAAACCCUGACGGUGCGACGCCGCGUGGAGGAUGAAGGUCUUCGGAUUGUAAACUCCUGUCAUCGAAGAGUAAGGCUGCUAUGUGAAUAGCAUAGCAGAUUGAUAGUAUUCGAAGAGGAAGGGACGGCUAACUUCGUGCCAGCAGCCGCGGUAAUACGAAGGUCCCAAGCGUUGUUCGGAAUCACUGGGCGUAAAGGGAGCGUAGGCGGCGAGGUAAGUCAGAUGUGAAAUGCCGGGGCUCAACCUCGGAACUGCAUCCGAUACUGCCUUGCUAGAGUAGUGGAGGGGCAUCUGGAAUUCACGGUGUAGCAGUGAAAUGCGUAGAUAUCGUGAGGAACACUAGUGGCGAAGGCGAGAUGCUGGACACUUACUGACGCUGAGGCUCGAAGGCCAGGGUAGCGAAAGGGAUUAGAUACCCCUGUAGUCCUGGCAGUAAACGGUGCACGUUUGGUGUGAGCAGGUUCGACCCUGUUCGUGCCGGAGUUAACGCGUUAAACGUGCCGCCUGGGGAGUACGGCCGCAAGGCUAAAACUCAAAGAAAUUGACGGGGACCCGCACAAGCGGUGGAGUAUGUGGCUUAAUUCGAUGCAACGCGAGAACCUUACCUGGGGCUUGACAUGCAUCUCUAAACCGGUGAAAGCCCGGGAGCGGAGCAUCCGCAAUUUGCACAGGUGCUGCAUGGCUGUCGUCAGCUCGUGUCGUGAGAUGUUUGGGUUAAGUCCCGCAACGAGGCGCAAC
rnacentral:rRNA from 1 species